rnacentral:rRNA from 1 species
UAACUGAAUACAUAGGUUAACAGAGCAAACCGGGGGAACUGAAACAUCUAAGUACCCCGAGGAGAAGAAAUCAACCGAGAUUCCGGUAGUAGCGGCGAGCGAACCUGGAUUAGCCCUUAAGCACUCGGUGAAGUAGGUGAACAAGCUGGAAAGCUUGGCGAUACAGGGUGAUAGCCCCGUAACCGACGCUUCAUCGAGCGUGAAAUCGAGUAGGGCGGGACACGUGAUAUCCUGUCUGAAUAUGGGGGGACCAUCCUCCAAGGCUAAAUACUCCUGACUGACCGAUAGUGAACCAGUACCGUGAGGGAAAGGCGAAAAGAACCCCUGUGAGGGGAGUGAAAUAGAACCUGAAACCGUGUACGUACAAGCAGUAGGAGCACCUUCGUGGUGUGACUGCGUACCUUUUGUAUAAUGGGUCAGCGACUUAUAUUCAGUGGCAAGGUUAACCGUAUAGGGGAGCCGUAGCGAAAGCGAGUCUUAACUGGGCGCUCAGUCUCUGGAUAUAGACCCGAAACCGGGUGAUCUAGCCAUGGGCAGGUUGAAGGUUGAGUAACAUCAACUGGAGGACCGAACCGACUAAUGUUGAAAAAUUAGCGGAUGACUUGUGGCUAGGGGUGAAAGGCCAAUCAAACUCGGAGAUAGCUGGUUCUCCCCGAAAGCUAUUUAGGUAGCGCCUCGGACGAAUACUACUGGGGGUAGAGCACUGUUAAGGCUAGGGGGUCAUCCCGACUUACCAACCCUUUGCAAACUCCGAAUACCAGUAAGUACUAUCCGGGAGACACACGGCGGGUGCUAACGUCCGUCGUGGAGAGGGAAACAACCCAGACCGCCAGCUAAGGUCCCAAAGUAUUGCUAAGUGGGAAACGAUGUGGGAAGGCUCAGACAGCUAGGAUGUUGGCUUAGAAGCAGCCAUCAUUUAAAGAAAGCGUAAUAGCUCACUAGUCGAGUCGGCCUGCGCGGAAGAUGUAACGGGGCUAAGCA